UACGUAGGGUGCGAGCGUUGUCCGGAAUUAUUGGGCGUAAAGAGCUCGUAGGCAGCUUGUCGCGUCGGAUGUGAAAGCCCGGGGCUUAACUCCGGGUCUGCAUUCGAUACGGGCAGGCUGGAGUGCGGUAGGGGAGAUCGGAAUUCCUGGUGUAGCGGUGAAAUGCGUAGAUAUCAGGAGGAACACCGGUGGCGAAGGCGGAUCUCUGGACCAGUUCUGACACUGAUGAGCGAAAGCCAGGGGAGCAAACAGGA
rnacentral:rRNA from 1 species